rnacentral:rRNA from 1 species
GACGAACGCUGGCGGCGUGCUUAACACAUGCAAGUCGAACGGAAAGGCCCUGCUUGCCGGGUACUCGAGUGGCGAACGGGUGAGUAACACGUGGGUGAUCUGCCCUGCACUUCGGGAUAAGCCUGGGAAACUGGGUCUAAUACCGGAUAGGAGCCAUUUUUAGUGUGAUGGUUGGAAAGUUUUUUCGGUGUAGGAUGAGCUCGCGGCCUAUCAGCUUGUUGGUGGGGUAAUGGCCUACCAAGGCGGCGACGGGUAGCCGGCCUGAGAGGGUGGACGGCCACAUUGGGACUGAGAUACGGCCCAGACUCCUACGGGAGGCAGCAGUGAGGAAUAUUGCACAAUGGGCGCAAGCCUGAUGCAGCGACGCCGCGUGGGGGAUGACGGCCUUCGGGUUGUAAACUCCUUUCGCUAGGGACGAAGCUUUUUGUGACGGUACCUAGAUAAGAAGCACCGGCUAACUACGUG